CUCCACAAGCGUUGCAGUCCCAAUUUGGAUCACCAAUAUCAGAAUAACCUAUUAAAAAAUUUGAUAAAAGAAACAUCUUAUAUGUAUAAUAACUUAUGGAUUGUAUAAGUAUAUAGUAGCUAUAUUUAAAAUUGAAAUUGGUGAAUUCAUUAAAAUCUGGAAUGAAUUGAACCUUCAUCUUGAACAUUGUUGUCAUUAUUAGUAGGGUGUUGAUCCUCCUCAUCCGAACUGGAUGCAGUACUAUAAUCCAUAUAAUUAUCUUCUGAUUCACUUUGUGAUGAAGUAGAAUUGUCAGAAUUGGCGUCAAAGUCUAAGUUCAAAUCAGGAACUUUUCUUUUUUGUUUGGCACAUU
rnacentral:lncRNA from 1 species